AAUAAGUGUAGUUUUACCCUAUUCACGUUCAACGUUUGACCGUUCGUCUUAUUUAAAUUUUUUAUGAUUAGUAUUUUUAUUGCUAUUAGAUGAUAAAACAUGAGUAAUACUUUAUGUGUGACUAAAUAUUUUUAAAUUUUUCAUAAUUUUUUCAAAUAAGAUGGACGGUCAAACGUUGGGCACGGAUAUCCACAGCUACACUUAUU
rfam:Oryza nivara chromosome 5, whole genome shotgun sequence.